rnacentral:rRNA from 1 species
CCUACGGGCGACCGCAGUGAGGAAUAUUGGUCAAUGGACGCAAGUCUGAACCAGCCAUGCCGCGUGCAGGAAGACGGCUCUAUGAGUUGUAAACUGCUUUUGUACGAGGGUAAACGCAGAUACGCGUAUCUGUCUGAAAGUAUCGUACGAAUAAGGAUCGGCUAACUCCGUGCCAGCCGCCGCGGUAAUACGGAGGAUUCCAGCGUUAUCCGGAUUUAUUGGGUUUAAAGGGUGCGUAGGCGGUCGGAUAAGUUAGAGGUGAAAUCCCGAGGCUCAACUUCGGAAUUGCCUCUGAUACUGUUCGGCUAGAGAGUAGUUGCGGUAGGCGGAAUGUAUGGUGUAGCGGUGAAAUGCUUAGAGAUCAUACAGAACACCGAUUGCGAAGGCAGCUUACCAAGCUACUUCUGACGUUGAGGCACGAAAGCGUGGGGAGCAAACAGGAUUAGAUACCCCGGUAGUC